ensembl:lncRNA
CAAACGCGAUUCAAACUCAACAAAGACAAACACUACCAGGAUGAAAAGAAUAUGGUGUGUGAGAGAGGGUGGACUCAGUUGGCCUACCUCCCAAAUUUGCUGUACUGGUGUUAGAAAUGGGAUUGCGCUGCUGGGAGACUGUUGAAAGUGUGUCACAUCGGGAUUGAAAAACCCCUGACGGUAGUGUGCAAUUUCGGGCCGGGCCCAAUGUAGGCGGAGUCAAACGCGUUUAACCCGAACGCUUCCCGUCUCCUUCAACGUCACCCAAAUUGAGGCACAACGUCAACGAAAGCAAACCUUAAUUGAGCCUAGCCAACAUGGAUAAAAAUAUAGACCAUGAAAUACGCUCUGUACAUUGCAAUGGAAGCACAGUGUGAUUUCACUGAGGAAAACAUUAGGCGGCGGUGGUGCCUAGUUCUCCUGCAGAACUUUCCCAUGCUGUAAGUCUUGAACAUUAUACAAACUUUUCAUUUGCAUCCUUAAAUUCACUUGGUUCACUGUAGGCAGACUGACCUGAGUACAUGUUCAUAUUGAAUGCAUGUCAUUCACUCACUAAGGUCUGAAGAAGAGAGGUUGAAAGAUCGAAAAAGGUGGCGAAAACAAAACACACUACAGGGAGGUGUGGUAUGAUGAGUGGUAUAGUCUUAAACCAAUGUUUAAAGACUUAAACUGCCCCCCUAUUAGCUAAAUUAAGGUGCAUUAUUGUACACACAUCCCUAGAGUUUCCCUUGCAUUACUUAAUGACCACAAUCAGUUUUCUUUUCUUUCUAGACGAUACUGAAAACAAAACACGACGAGCUGUGAACUGGAAAGCAGAUGUUCUUCUAAGGGACACCCUAGAGGCAGCGAACAUUUAAAGGCAAUGUUUCCCUCCCUAGUGUAAUUGGGAUGGACGGGGAAGACCGCAUUACAAUCCUUAAAGAACUACGGUUGUAUGAUGGCCUGGAAGAAGAGGAAAAUAUUCUCCUCAAGGAACCAUUCAUGUUCCAGAGAGAUUAUGAGAUGUUCUAUGUGGAGGCAGUUGACAACAAGAACAUUACUGUCUUUGCCUCUUUUGAGGAGCAGAAGUGAAGCCAUUUUUGAGGACUAGUCAAACCUUGUUUUUGUCUGCUGUUUCAAUUGUUAAUUGUGUUAUAUUGUUUAGUAAAGAUGACAUAGAAGUCACCCGAGUCUCUGAUCUCUGUACUGGAGCUGGUAUAACUUAAUGUACAAAGCACCUUUCAGCUAUUCAGUAUGUCUACUAUAUAGUUUAGUCUCUCCAUUCUCAUUGGGAAAGUAAAUAGCAUUAUAAAUCAGGGUAGGUAGUAACUGUAUGUGUGUAUGCUCAAUGAAAUAAUAUAAAGUUAACAUUUAUCAACACAAUUUUAACAGUACAUGACAUAAGUCUGUUCACUGCAACAAUAUCAGUAGCUUGUCUAAAGUAUAGCAUGAAGCAAAAAGUGUUACAACACAUCUAGUACCACUUUGUAUAAUUAUUUCUUACAGUUUCAAAAAUGAAAUACGUUUGUAUUCAACGCGUGCCUUGUGCAAACUUGCGUGUUUGUAUUCAGUGUGUGACUGUCAAACCUCAGCUGGACUAAAAAAGGUGGGUGGGGUCAAACGUUUGACUCCGACCACAUUGAGACCGGCCCUGAAUUGCACACUGCAGUCAGGUGUACUUGUCAGGACUUGCACUUUCCAAAGGAAGGGGCAGAGAUUUGCAAAAAUUUCUGUAUUUGAAAUACGAAUUUCAAUUCUGAGUAUUUUGUCAUUUGUAGUACACUGGGCUGAACUAAACUCAAAUGUAUUUUGUAACAAGAUACUUUAGAGAGCUGUAGGUGUAUGUGCAUUUAUACUUUCAAAAUAAAUACUUUUC